CUUCACCAGGUCUAAACAGUCUGU
rnacentral:siRNA from 1 species